AUUGAACGCUGGCGGCAGGCCUAAAACAUGCAAGUCGAGCGAGCGGCGGACGGGUGAGUAAUGUAUGGGGAACUGCCUGAUGGAGGGGGAUAACUACUGGAAACGGUGGCUAAUACCGCAUACGAUCAGAUGGACCCAUCUGGGAUUAGCUAGUAGGUGGGGUAACGGCGCACCUAGGCGACGAUCCCUAGCUGGUCUGAGAGGAUGAGCAGCCACACUGGGACUGAGACACGGCCCAGACUCCUACGGGAGGCAGCAGUGGGGAAUAUUGCACAAUGGGCGCAAGCCUGAUGCAGCCAUGCCGCGUGUAUGAAGAAGGCCUUCGGGUUGUAAAGCACUUUCAGCGGGGAGGCGUUACUCGCAGAAGAAGCACCGGCUAACUCCGUGCCAGCAGCCGCGGUAAUUC
rnacentral:rRNA from 1 species